rnacentral:rRNA from 1 species
GGACUACUAGGGUUUCUAAUCCUGUUUGCUCCCCACGCUUUCGCGCCUCAGCGUCAGUAAAGGACCAGGUCGCCGCCUUCGCCACCGGUGUUCUUCCCAAUAUCUACGAAUUUCACCUCUACACUGGGAAUUCCACGACCCUCUUCCUCACUCGAGCCUGGAUGUAUCAAGCGCAGCCCCCGGGUUAAGCCCAGGAAUUUCACGCCUGACUGUCCAAACCGCCUACGCGCCCUUUACGCCCAGUCAUUCCGAGCAACGCUAGCCCCCUUCGUAUUACCGCGGCUGCUGGCAC